GACGUAGGUGGCGAACGUUAUCCGGAAUUACUGGGCGUAAAGCGCACGUAGGCGGCUUUGUAAGUUAGAGGUGAAAGCCCGGGGCUCAACUCCGGAAUUGCCUUUAAGACUGCAUCGCUAGAAUUGUGGAGAGGUAAGUGGAAUUCCGAGUGUAGAGGUGAAAUUCGUAGAUAUUCGGAAGAACACCAGUGGCGAAGGCGACUUACUGGACACAUAUUGACGCUGAGGUGCGAAAGCGUGGGGAGCAAACAGG
rnacentral:rRNA from 1 species